rnacentral:rRNA from 1 species
GAUCAUGGCUCAGAUUGAACGCUGGCGGCAGGCCUAACACAUGCAAGUCGAGCGGUAGAGAGGUGCUUGCAUCUCUUGAGAGCGGCGGACGGGUGAGUAAUGCCUAGGAAUCUGCCUAGUGGUGGGGGAUAACGUUCGGAAACGGACGCUAAUACCGCAUACGUCCUACGGGAGAAAGCGGGGGAUCUUCGGACCUCGCGCCAUUAGAUGAGCCUGCGUCCGAUUAGCUAGUUGGUGGGGUAAAGGCCUACCAAGGCGACGAUCGGUAGCUGGUCUGAGAGGAUGACCAGCCACACUGGAACUGAGACACGGUCCAGACUCCUACGGGAGGCAGCAGUGGGGAAUAUUGGACAAUGGGGGGAACCCUGAUCCAGCAAUGCCGCGUGUGUGAAGAAGGCCUGAGGGUUGUAAAGCACUUUCAGUGGGGAGGAGGGUUGAUAGGUUAAGAGCUAAUUAACUGGACGUUACCUACAGAAGAAGCACCGGCUAACUCCGUG